UAAGUAAUGUGAAUUGCAGAAUUCAGUGAAUCAAUCGAAUCUUUGAACGCACCUUGCGCUCCAUGGUAUUCCGUGGAGCAUGCCUGUUUGAGUGUCAUGA
rnacentral:rRNA from 1 species